CGUUUUUGGUCACCCAGAUUGAUAAAUGUGAACAACGUUUGUCAAUACUUUCUUCAAAAUGUCUCUUGAAGAAUCCCAUCACCUUUGGGGAGCUGUGGCAGGCCCCUCAAAGUGAAUUUGGAGGUUCUACACCA
rnacentral:snoRNA from 1 species